UUUAAGUAAUCAGUAUAAAUUAGAAGUUGAUAAAAACAACGAUAUUCGCAACUUUAUUGUUUUUUUCGUUUGCGACUCUUAUUGUGUCGCCAUCCACACCUGACGCUUUUGGGGCUGAACCAAGGGUUUUUGACUAUUGCAGCAAAAUUUAUUUAUCUUCUGUCGUUCCCUCGACCUUCUAUGCUGCCGAUAGGCAGUGUAAGAAGCACGGCCUUUUGUUAGCAACCAUUCCAGAUAAUCAGCAUCAAACGUAUCUUGCAAAAUUUUUAAAAAACACUUAUGCACCACAUUGGCAACUUUGGAUAGGUGGUUCAAGUAUGGCCAUGCAAUUCCAUACCCCAUUCUUCUAUUACUGGGUUGACUCUGGCGAAGAAAUAACCUAUACGAAUUGGGCAUGUAUUUCAUUAGUAAAUAUAAUAUCUAUAAGUAUAUGCAGCCGCUUACAAUUUUGUUUAGUGGGCCCAUAUCCUUGCUCAACAUUCGAAAAAUCCGGGAAGGAAUGGGGGUUUACCCAGUAGUACUGGCGGUGGCGAUUGGCCAUGAUUGGUACUUACCAGAUCGACCCUCUGGUAAGCAAACGCCGAACCAUACAGCAAGGCAUACGAAUAUUAAACAAUUGAAAAAAUA